AGCGAAGCUGUGCGAGGCCUUCUGUGUUGGGUCGGGGUUUUCCAGAAGCGUACGUGGACUCGAAAACUCAGGCGCAAGUGCGUUUUUGAGGCAAGGCUCCAGAAGCCUCCCAGGAGAAACUAACAAGGAGAAGGGGAAGCAGGAUAGGGAAGAGGCCAAGCAAUGGAGGAGGCGUCAGGAAAAAGACUUUGGCGGCUACCCUGGAGCCCUCUUCUGGGCUGUUGAGGAGAUAAGGAAGGGGGGGGGCACAGAAAUGUUACGUAAUUUGCCGAAGGUCACCUACCUAGAAGUGUGAGAUUCAGGAUUUGAACUCUGGAAGAGACUGCACCCUUACCCACUACACUAUACUGAGGAAAAAAAAACAAAAAGAAGAAGAACAAAGACAAGCAUCCUGCUGAAAAUAUAAAGACGGAGAGAACAAGCUGACUUUUCCAAAUUCUCCUGAGAAAUUAUUGAAAACAUUUUGUUUACCAUGAAAGCGAUUUAACAUUUGGGGUUCCAAAAUACGAAAUAAUGGCAUGCGGAUUUAGUUAAACAUUGGCAAGAUGGCAGCCGUCUACUGAGGAGAAACACGGAAAAAACAGUGCGCAAGCAUAGGCACCUCGAAUCCACCCAAGAACACGAAUGGCAGCGAAGAGAACAUGAGCAUCUCGUCCUCUUCACCCCCCCCCAAAAAAACUUCCUCUUCCAAGUUCCACAUUUCCAAUGGCCUCCUGGACAUGUGCCACCUGAUGACCUGCCAGCAUCUUCAACAAACACAGCAACGCUCAAAAUGAACUCAUUUCUCAUUUCUAUUAUUUCCAUUACGAGACUUCCAGGAAUUUUGUAUCCGUUCCCUCUGUGUCACUAAGGCCCUCUUUUCUUUGUUCUUGCUUUGUCAUGUCUCUUUCGUCCAUCCCCUUUUCUGAAGCUGAUUGCUAUCACAUCUCCAGUCACUACUCUCUGGACCACUGAAGACAUCUCCCAACAGCUCUCCCUACCUUCAGGUUCUCCUCCCACCAAUCCUACAUUUACUACUCUUGGAUCAACCUUCCUAAACACAGCUUCCACCAGGAAUCUACCUCUGCUCGAAAACUUCCCAAGGUUUUCUGCUAACCACCAGGAAAAAAAUCUUAACUGUAUAGCCUAGUAUUCAAGCCCCUCCAGUCUGGUCCCUUCAAAUCCGAUAGUACACUCCUUCCCUAACCACUCCGGAAGAAAAGUGGAAAUGAAUGAACACCCCUACACAAACCCUCCAUUCCAUAAGAUGACAAGUAAAUCAUCUUAUUUACUGUCACCUUGUAAUCUGUCAUGUAUAUGCUCAUGUGCCCGACAUUUCCCCCUCUACCUGUCUAUAUUUAACCUUUCUUUUAGUCCCAACAUGAAUCCUGCCUCCUUCAUUCCUACCUUUCCUGCUUACUGAAAAUAUCUUACUUCACUCAAUAGCACUUACUGUCUAUAGCACCCCAUUUAGCACUUUAGUAGGAUGCUGUUCUGCAUCUUUAUCUGUUCCUGUGUGUUAUCUGACUUCACAGUUACAUGUGGAGUACGCUGUAUUCCCCAAACUCCACAAGGCCAGACACCAUGCAUUAUGUAUCUUUGCAAUCCUGACAGAUUAGUAAUAAUAAACAAAACAUUCAUUGAGUGUUUACCAUGUGCCAGGCUCUGUGCUAAAUGUUUUCUAGCAUUAUCUCAUUUAAUUCAAACAACAAAACAAGGUGGGUACUAUUACUAUCCCCUUUUCACAGAUGAAGAGAUUGAGGGUUAGAAAGGUUGUGUAACUGGCCCAAAAUCACGUAACUAGUAAGUGGCAGAGCUAGCACUCAAAUACAGGAUUAUGAGACUCAGGAGUCCCUGCUAAUAGUACCUUUCACAGAGUAAGUGCUGAACAUGUUUCUGAAUUAAUUAAGGCUAUGCCUCCCACCAAAGCAAUUGGGGUGUGUGGCAGGCAGAACAGUGGCCCCCAGAGAUGUCCACGUCUUGAUCCUCAGAGCCCAUGAAUAAGGCUUCCCCUUUUCCACCCUGACUGCACUAUUUUAAAAACCGUCUUACCAAGAGGGACAUGAAACUCCGAGGGAAAGCCACGUGUUAUUGACAGAAUUCUCUCAGGAAGAUUAUUACAAUCUAAACAUGUAUGGUAUCCUUUUAAAAUAUCAUUACCUAAUGCUUUUAUUCCAAAGCACUUCCCAUAUAUUGUCUUAGACAUCUGUGCCAGCCCUUCAGUGUACAUAAAUGACAGUUACAAGUGCAUACCAUGGCUUUUGCAUUGCAUUUUUUGAGUCAUUUCCAAGAAUUUUAUUCGUAAAAGGCCCAAAUAGCACUGUAGAAAAAUGUAUUUUUUCAAAAUAGCAGGAAAACCAACAGUUUAGUAUUUUUUGUACUGUUUUGAGCUGGUAGGUGGCUUUAGUAUAGACUCACAGACUCAGGCCCCUUUUCACUGGGCUUUUCUGACCCUAUGGCUUCUAAUUGUUUUUCUAGGGUCUUUAGCUGUGUCUGGGCUGUGGACACAUUUGGCAAGGUGGUGGGGAUGAGGGUGACACAUUGAUGGGGUUGGAGCUGGGAUCCAUAUUCCUAUUCCCCAAUCCCUGUUCAGCUGCCUCUGAUGGAUUUCCCAUAACCACGUGGGCCCUCACCCCCUCGGUCACUUCCCUUGUAAAUCAAUACUGGGUCCAUUACAUCUUAGCUAGGAUCAGUUUGAUGAGUAUGUGCCUAUAGCCACCCCCUCCCUGCUAUUUUCGAGGUACUUUACAUACAUACGUAUUAUCGCUUAACGUGCAGUUUAGCAUAAUGGUUAGAGCGUAGACUUUUCCUUUCCAGUCCCAGCCCUACCACUCAUCCGCUGUGCGGUUAACAUCUCUAGGACUCAGUCUUCCCAUUUGUGGAACGGCAAUUUUAAAAAGUGCUUCUUUAUAAGGUUGUUGUGAGGACUGAGUGCUUAGAAGAGUCCUGCAACAUAGUCGAUACCGCAUAAGGGGAGAAUUAGCGCGGCACAGGAAAGUAUCAACUUGCCCAAGGUCACCUAAAUUUAAUGAGGGGCAGAGGCAGGAUUUGGAGCCAGGUCAUUUUGUCUGCACCUACUUCCCACCCUGUGGCACUAUCUGACUUUUGUCCCUGA